rnacentral:rRNA from 1 species
UACGAAGGGGGCUAGCGUUGUUCGGAUUUACUGGGCGUAAAGCGCACGUAGGCGGGUUGUUAAGUCAGGGGUGAAAUCCUGGAGCUCAACUCCAGAACUGCCUUUGAUACUGUCGGACUAGAGUACAGAAGGGGCAACUGGAAUUCUCGGUGUAGCGGUGAAAUGCGUAGAUAUCGAGAGGAACACCUGCGGCGAAGGCGGGGUUGCUGGGCUGAUACUGACGUGAGGCGCGAAAGCCAGGGGAGCGAACGGG